CGCCCAAUAGCUAGCCCGCCCAUCAACCCCAAACCUUCCCUAUCUAUAUCCCCAAAUACACCACCCCCAACAAACAAACCAUUCUUCCACCUAAGUACGGGCGACGAAAAAGGACCUAGGAGCAACAGAGAAAGUACCGCAAGGGAAAGCUGAAAGAGUAAUGAAACAACCCAGUAAAGCACUAAAAAGCAGAGACCAUCUCUCGUACCUUUUGCAUCAUGAUUUAGCCAGAAAGCCUUAAGCAAAAAGCACUAUAGUUUAAUACCCCGAAAACUAAGCGAGCUACUCCAAGACAGUCUAAUUUAUAGGACUCCCCCGUCUCUGUGGCAAAAGAGUGGGAAGAACUUUGAGUAGAGUGACAGACCUACCGAGCCUAGUUAUAGCUGGUUGCCUGGAAACUGAAUAGAAGUUCAGCCCCCUAAAUUCUUCAUUCCCCUUGGUCCAAGACCUUUUCACCGAUUAAAAAAGAAAUCAGAGGAGUUAGUCAAAGGGGGUACAGCCCCUUUGAAAUAAGAUACAACUUUCCAAGGAGGGUAAAGAUCACAACAAACUUAAAGGUUUCAAUACCCUAGUGGGCCUAAAAGCAGCCAUCUACUCAGAAAGCGUUAAAGCUCGGGCAUUACAUAACUAACCUUCCAAUAAAGACAAUCCAAUCUCACCCCCCUAGACCUACCAGGCCAUUCCAUAAAAAUAUGGAAGCGUUUAUGCUAAUAUGAGUAAUAAGGGACCCCCCCCC
rnacentral:rRNA from 1 species